rnacentral:rRNA from 1 species
GACGAACGCUGGCGGCGUGCUUCAUGCAUGCAAGUCGAACGUGAAGCUACCUUCGGGUAGUGGAAAGUGGCGGACGGGUGAGUAACAUGUAGGAAAUCUGCCCUUUAGUGGGGGACAACAGUUGGAAACGACUGCUAAUACCCCAUAUGAGCUAAGCUGAAAUGCUUAUCUUGAAAACUCCGGUGCUAAAGGAUGAGCCUGCACCUGAUUAGCUAGUUGGCGGGGUAAAUGCCCACCAAGGCUAUGAUCAGUAGCUGGUUUGAGAAGAUGAUCAGCCACAAUGGGACUGAGACACGGCCCAUACUCCUACGGGAGGCAGCAGUAGGGAAUUUUGCGCAAUGGGCGAAAGCCUGACGCAGCAACGCCGCGUGUGCGAUGAAGCCCUUCGGGGUGUAAAGCACUGUCAGUAGGGACGAAUUUUGACGGUACCUACAGAGGAAGCACCGGCUAACUCCGUGCCAGCCGCCGCGGUAAUAC